UUUUGUACCUCCUGUAUCCAUUUAUCUCUUUUGCCAUGGAAUCCUCAACAUCUUCUUCUUAUUCGUUAAACCACGCAGGAGCAAAGCACUUGUAUCCAAUUUUUUGCUCAUGUCGUCAUCUUUAUUGAUGAAACAGAGGAACUGAUAGACGCCCUAAACUAACCCGUAACUCCAAAUAAGCGAGGAAGGGGAAAGGGGAAUUUUAUUUUCCAUUUGAUUCACACUUGAAGUAUCAUUCUCCUAUCACCAUGCUCAGUUUGAGCACCAAGUUUCAGGUCUUCUUUCUGGGAAUUAGGAAAUCAAAUUUGGAGAAAGCAACCAUUAAUAAUUUUUCUACGGUAAAUUCAAACAUCAAAACAUCAGAUUGAGCACCAAGUUUCAGGUCUUAUCUUGCUUUGCUCCUUCACUAUCUCUUCAUGGUUUAUUAUAUUUUGAGGACUGUUGCCUUCUUUAGUUUGUUAAUUGCAUGUAUUGGAACUUGACAGUGUCGUCGUAUGUAACAAUUGAAUAAAUUCCAGCAGAACUAAGUGCUCUUUUGUUAUGUUUAACAAAGGUUACGUACUUGCUUAGUUGGAGUUCUAUUUGGAAUCAGCUUUAAAAUUCAAUCUAUGUAACAUGGUUUCUCUCAUUUAUUUGUUGCUAGUUUCUACAUGUAAUAUGGUACUUCUAAGAAGAUUUUAGUUAUAGAAGUAAUAUGCUAUAAUAGUGCUAACAUCUUGUUUAAGCUUGAUUAAACCUGUUUCAUGAAAUGACAAACAUGCCACAUCUUUUAAAUGUACUUGUGAAUUUGGAAAUUGAUUACUAACGUAGAAAACUAAGUUUUGCUUUGCUUUCUGUUUUGCAAUGGAGGAGAGAAGUUGUGUUUGCUGGAUUUGAGGUGCCUAUCCAAAUGGAUGUUUCUAUAGAGAAAAUGAUUUUUGAGGUUCUAGGAACUGAUCCACAAGACGAGAUGAACUAAUUAAGGUUCUUGGUAUCGAUCUGCCCUGGAGAAUGCACAAAUCAUCUGAUGGGCAAAGAAGAAGAGUGCAGAUAUGUAUGGGUCUUCUGAAACUAUUCAAGCUCUUUGGCCCUCACCAUAUCCUUGUGCUGCUUCUACCUACAAUAAGAUUGCUGAACUUUUAAAACUUCCCAUACCAACAUCCUCUCAGCACAUUAAAGGUGAAUAAAGGAAGAGGUAGAAGAAAGAAAUGAAGACCUUCAAAGUAUUAGCUGAACAGUGCAAGGCCUUUAAAUUUUCUAGUUUUUAUGAACUCGUGUAUGCCAACUAUUGAACAUGUCAAACAAAUUUGUAUAUUCUGCUUUAUAUAUGGAUAAUACUAGUUGGAUAAUUUGGAUUAUGAUCUUGUUGUUGAAUAUUUCUUUUGUAAUUUACAUAAAUUUUAAUAUAUUAUAUUUGGUUU